rnacentral:rRNA from 1 species
GAUGAACGCUAGCGACAGGCUUAACACAUGCAAGUCGAGGGGUAGCAGGGGAUAGCAAUAUCCCGCUGACGACCGGCGCACGGGUGAGUAACGCGUAUGCAACCUACCUUUAACUGGGGGAUAGCCCGGGGAAACCCGGAUUAAUACCGCAUAACACAUUUUAGUAGCAUUACUAGUUUUGUUAAAGAUUUAUUGGUUAAAGAUGGGCAUGCGUUCGAUUAGCUAGUUGGCAGGGUAACGGCCUACCAAGGCGACGAUCGAUAGGGGAGCUGAGAGGUUGAUCCCCCACACGGGCACUGAGAUACGGGCCCG